UACGUAGGGUGCAAGCGUUGUCCGGAUUUAUUGGGCGUAAAGAGCUCGUAGGCGGUCUGUCGCGUCGGAUGUGAAAACCCAGGGCUCAACCCUGGGCCUGCAUUCGAUACGGGCAGACUAGAGUAUGGCAGGGGAGACUGGAAUUCCUGGUGUAGCGGUGAAAUGCGCAGAUAUCAGGAGGAACACCGGUGGCGAAGGCGAGUCUCUGGGCCAAAACUGACGCUGAGGAGCGAAAGCGUGGGGAGCGAACAGG
rnacentral:rRNA from 1 species